AUGAAGAGCAAGAUGGAGAAGCAGGGCACGUGCUUUACUAACUCAGUUCCAAUUCAAAAAUCCCUUCUUUUCUUUUUCUUUCUCUUUUUCU